rnacentral:tRNA from 1 species
GCCUCUGUGAUGGAAUGGUAGACAUGACAGACUCAAAAUCUGUUGCUCUUUGAGCGUGUCGGUUCAAGUCCGGCCAGAGGUACCA